CAAGUCGAACGCUUUGUCUUUAACUGAUAUGAAGAGCUUGCUCUGAUUUGAUUCCAUCUGACAAAGAGUGGCGAACGGGUGAGUAACACGUGGGUAACCUACCUCUUAGCAGGGGAUAACAUUUGGAAACAAGUGCUAAUACCGUAUAAUACCAACAACCGCAUGGUUGUUGGUUGAAAGAUGGUUCUGCUAUCACUAAGAGAUGGACCCGCGGUGCAUUAGCUAGUUGGUAAGGUAACGGCUUACCAAGGCAAUGAUGCAUAGCCGAGUUGAGAGACUGAUCGGCCACAAUGGGACUGAGACACGGCCCAUACUCCUACGGGAGGCAGCAGUAGGGAAUCUUCCACAAUGGGCGCAAGCCUGAUGGAGCAACGCCGCGUGUGUGAUGAAGGGUUUCGGCUCGUAAAACACUGUUAUAAGAGAAGAACGGCACUGAGAGUAACUGUUCAGUGUGUGACGGUAUCUUACCAGAAAGGAACGGCUAAAUACGUGCCAGCAGCCGCGGUAAUACGUAUGUUCCAAGCGUUAUCCGGAUUUAUUGGGCGUAAAGCGAGCGCAGACGGUUAUUUAAGUCUGAAGUGAAAGCCCUCAGCUCAACUGAGGAAUGGCUUUGGAAACUGGAUGACUUGAGUGCAGUAGAGGAAAGUGGAACUCCAUGUGUAGCGGUGAAAUGCGUAGAUAUAUGGAAGAACACCAGUGGCGAAGGCGGCUUUCUGGACUGUAACUGACGUUGAGGCUCGAAAGUGUGGGUAGCAAACAGGAUUAGAUACCC
rnacentral:rRNA from 1 species